CCAACACAUCCACAGAUGAAAAGAAGUUAAUCUUGUUAAUUUGCUGUCUUCUUGUUUAACCAGAAGGGUGACUCAGGGAUCACAAGGAUAUAUGAGCUUGUUUUGCAGAAGAAAAAGAA